rnacentral:rRNA from 1 species
GCCGGUAAUUAUUGCGAAGGGGCUAUACCCGAUCCCAUACCGAACUCGGAAGUCAAGCCCUUCUGCGCUGAUGGUACUUUGUCUUAAGGCAUGGAAGAGUAGGACGUUGCCGGCA